rnacentral:rRNA from 1 species
GACGAACGCCGGCGGCGUGCCUAAUACAUGCAAGUCGAACGCUGAAGGAGGAGCUUGCUUCUCUGGAUGAGUUGCGAACGGGUGAGUAACGCGUAGGUAACCUGCCUGGUAGCGGGGGAUAACUAUUGGAAACGAUAGCUAAUACCGCAUAAGAGUAGAUGUUGCAUGACAUUUGCUUAAAAGGUGCAAUUGCAUCACUACCAGAUGGACCUGCGUUGUAUUAGCUAGUUGGUGGGGUAACGGCUCACCAAGGCGACGAUACAUAGCCGACCUGAGAGGGUGAUCGGCCACACUGGGACUGAGACACGGCCCAGACUCCUACGGGAGGCAGCAGUAGGGAAUCUUCGGCAAUGGACGGAAGUCUGACCGAGCAACGCCGCGUGAGUGAAGAAGGGUUUCGGAUCGUAAAGCUCUGUUGUAAGAGAAGAACGAGUGUGAGAGUGGAAAGUUCACACUGUGACGGUAUCUUACCAGAAAGGGACGGCUAACUACGUG